ACAGGCCUCAGACUACUAACACAUCUUAUCUGUGUCCUUAUCCAGCUGCUAGCAGUGGUGUUUGCUGCAGUAUCAACAUGUUUCAUUGUGAGCAUCAACACACAUUCUUGUUAAAAGCUCAAUUAUUCAGUUUAUGAAUAAAGAGAGAGGGAGGAUAAGAACAUUUGAAGGCUGUAAACUAAAUAAAUUCAGAACAAGUGAUGGAGAGUAAACCACUGAUGAGGAAGUGAGCAGGAAGUUGAAGCUGUGUUCAUCUCUGAGACUGUUUCAUUUGUGAAUGUGAGAGCAGAGAGUAGAGACUGACAGACAGAGAAGUACGAUGGCUGCAGUCAUGUGGAUUCAAAUGUCUUCAUUCCUGCUGCUGAUGCUUCAGAUUACAGCAGAAACAACACCACAGACUUUGUCCUCCUUCAGAGCUGCCAGAGCUGGACAUGACAUCAUUUUGUCUUGUGAAAAUGUGAUAGAUGGUCAACAUAACUGUGACUAUACUACCUGGAAUUUCAUUGAUUCAAGAAACACAGCAUCAGUAGAGCUGGUUGCUCAUGGACAGAUUAAUGAAAAUGUUAAAGCUGAAUACACCAGACUGAGUGUUACAGCGAACUGUUCUCUGCUUAUAAAGAAGGUCAAAGCUGAAGAUGUUGGUGGUUACACCUGCAGACAGUACAAAACAAGAGGAGGACCACAAGAAGGCCCAGACUUUACAGUUUAUCUGUCUGUUAUUAACAUGACUGAACAUGAGAACAAUGAUAAAGUCAUUGUGAACUGCUCUGUGCUGACACAUGGACACUGUAGACACACAGUGGAGUGGCUGCAUGAGGGUGAAAAGAAUAAAUCAGACGUGGAGAAUAAACCAGGUUCCUGCUCUGUGACUGUGACAUUUAAAAGAUCUCACCGUGAUCAGAAGUCAAAGUUUUAUAAUUCAUUGAAGUGUAAAGUGACAAAUAAUUACACUAAAGAAGAACAACUGUUUCCCUUCAAACUCAAGUCCUCACGUGAGAAAACAGGUGAAAACACAAAAUCAAAGACUGCAAAAUUCACCUCAACAACAACAACAACAACAUUAACAACAACAACAAUAAUGAGAUCAACAAAAUCUUCUCUAGAAUCAAAAAAAACCUCACAAGGUUUGUUAUUAUUGUUUAUUAUCCUUCCCGUUGGUUUAUCAGCACUCUUAAUAACUGCUGUGAUCAUCAGAUGGAAGAAACAUAAAGGAAAAGAAAGGCAGCUGGCUGGCAACACUGGAGUGAGCUUAAACCCUGCAGAGACUCAGUCUGGACCAGGAACCAAUCAAACCAGGGCUGGAGCUGAUGAUGGUGUUUCCUACGUCUCCAUCAGCUUCACCAAGAGGACCAAGAAUAAAACCCGGUCCCGUAGUCAUGAUGAAGGUGACACUGUGACCUAUAGCACUGUGAAAGCUUUCUCCUCUUCUGCUGGAGAUGAUCCCAACCACCUCUAUUCCACCAUCAAUUAUGUAAAGAAGUAGGAUGUUGCUCAUGAAAGGUGAUAUGUUAGAUGCUGUUUCACUUUUUAGAGGAGAGAAUGAAUGUGAAAAGUCAUAGGUUAUUUUUAUUUUAUUUUUUUUGUCUUACGUAUGUGUUGUUUUGAACUAAUAACAUAAUAUUGUUAUGGUAAAUAGACUUAUAUAGUGCUUUUCUACUCUACCUGAGCACUCAAAGCGCUUUAUACAACACAUUCAUUCACCCAAGCAGUUAAGUGCUCCCUAUCUAACAUUAAUACUCAUUCAUACUUCGAUGGAAGCAUCGGAGAGCAACAUGGGGUUAGUAUCUUGCCCAAGGAUAUUUGGCGUGCAGACUGGAGCAGACUGGGAUCAAACCACGACCCUUCUGGUUAGUAGCUGACCUGCUCUAACACCUGAGCUACAGACACCAAACUCAAAAACAUUUAUGUUUCAAAAACAGACAUGUUACCUCAGAUAUAUAUUUCUGUUUUGACUUAAACUGUUUCUGUCAGAGGUGUAUGUGUUGACGUUUUAUUGCAAGAAACCUUUUCUGUUUGCUGCUGCUCAUAAAAGUUUAGCUGAUAGCGUCCUAUCACAGUACAUGACAUCUUUCCUGUCUAAGGCACAGCUUCAAAUGCAUCUGUCCUGAACAGUGCCACUGUAAAUAAAUGCUUUAAAUAAAGGAUCCAGAUACUUUUUUCACUUUAAGAAGAAAUCACUUUACAGCCUGUGUCAUUUUGUUAUAACUGCACAUAUUGAAGUGAUCAAUGAAAAAAAGAUAAUGUUGGAUUUACUUAACUCAAUAUUGGACAUUGGUUAAACACAUUUGUUUUGCUUUGGCAACAACUUAAACAAUCAACUUAAAAUGGGGUGUUAAAUAUGCCAAAGAUGCUUACAUAAAUCCAACAGAUGGCCAGUCUCCUUUUUUCAUUGUUGGUUAUAAUAAGAAGAACACUAAAACUAAUAGAAACGAAAACAUUUUUAAUUAUUUUUCAGUCACAUUAACCAGUUGCAGGACAUUAAAGGCAGUGGUUAAGUAUUUUUUAGCCUGAUUCACUAAAAGCUGUAUGAAGAAAAACUGCUGCUAAUCUGAAUUUUGAACUGUAGUCAACAUUUGUUCAGUCUUAGCAAUUUAGCAAACUCCAGAAAAAUGAUGAGGACUAUUGACUUCUUAUAGACUAUUGGGUGUGUUAACCAUUUGUGUUUCUGACGUUUAUGUGGUCAUCAUGAGAGGCUCAACCCUCCAGAGUUCUGCUGCUGUUGUACCCACAUUCUCACCAAAACACUUCCCCUUCACUUCUCAGAAAAAGAUAAAAUUACACUUCAGAAGUGCAAUGAGGAAGCAUCAGCCCACAGACCGUUAACACAUCUUAUUUGUGCUCUCAUCUAGCUGCUAGCAGUGGUGACUGCAGCAGUAUUGCAAUGUUUGAUAGUGAAUAAGAUAAAUUCUUGAGCGUAAUGAGACUGACUUUUGAUCUAUUUUCAUCUGUGCUCACAAAACCUUUCUACAAAAGAGCUACAAUAAUGCACGCACUUAACUAAACUUCUUACAUUUUAAUUUAAGACAGUUAAGUGUUUUAGCCCUGCAACAGACUGGGGACCUGUCCAGGGUGUACCUCGUUUCUCACCUGAUGACAGCUGGGACAGGCUCCAGCUCCUCCCUGAGACACUGAUAAUGAUAAGCAGAAGAGAAUAAAUAGAUAGAUGGAUAGUUAAGUGCACUAUUUUUAAGAUUUUUACAACUUCCUCUUACACAGUUUUGUGUUGAUGUUAGUCAAAGAGAGAGUUUUUGAAUUCUUACUAAGAGUUACUAAGACAGCACAAUAUUUGCAAUUCACUUUACUUACCAUGAGGGUCUUCAGGAAGUACAACCUGGACUCAAACCUGCUGCUGACCUUCUGCCUGUCGUCCAUUGAGAGCCUCCUGAGAUACUGUAUCACAGUAUGGUACGGCAACUGCACCAUGGCAGACAGGGAGAACUCCAGAGAGUAGUUAAGGCAGCACAGAAGAUCAUUGGCUGCCCCCUUCCCUCUCUGAUGGACCUUUAUACCUCACACUGCCUCAGCAGAGCAACAAACAUCAUCAAGGACAGCUCCCACCCUGGUUCUGACCUGUUCAACCUGCUGCCCUCAGAGAGGCACUACGGGUGCCACUACAUUCAGGCCUGUGAGACUUAUUCAGAGACUCAGACACUGAGCCAUGGCUCUGUGCAAAGACAGUUUGCAUAUAGUUUAUGUAUAGUUUAGUUUUAUGUAAUAUUCGAUACUGAACUGCAAAUUAAAUCUUUUUCAAAGGAGAAUGUUUUAUUCAAUGUUUUCAUAGAAGCCUUAUUUUUUUUGCAUUUCCCUAUACUAAGGAGAACACACAUGAGUUUUAGUUUGAUAGUUUGAAACCUUUUCUCCUCCACAAUGGAAAAUGGACGAAAUUAAAAUGUUUGCUAAAGAGGAGCAAAUAAUUUAGGGCAAAAUCUACUGAUAGCUAAAGUAAAACAAUCCUGUUGCAAGAUUGAACUUAAUUUUCACCAAACUUAUUUGUGGUGAACAUAUAAAAAUCUAAAAUAAACCAAAAAUCAUCCAUUAGAUGUGGAUAUCAACAUAUAUUCAGUGUUUACCCUCCACUGAAAGGUGCAGGUCUGUGUUCUUUUAUAUUCUGAAAUGUCCUCAAAGUAUAGAAGUUAAAAGGAGCUCUUUGAAGGAAAUUUGUCCCGGCUAUUUAGUGCAAAGCUAACUGAAACUCACCAUAUUAAUAUAAUAGUAAAAUGAUAUUAAUACAAGAAAAUAUGAGCCUUAUUUCAGCUUCUAUUAAUAAUCGCUGCACUUCAAUCGAAGUCAUUAGCCUUCUCUGGGCCCAAACUCAGCUGCAGAUCCAUAAGUCACACGUGUACUGUAGCAUCACUGAGAGUUAAAAACUGUCUAAAUUCUUUCAUCUGUAAUAAAAUGAUCAGUGUGUAACAAUUAGGUUUAACAGCCAGGCAUCCAUGAAAACAGACAUUUAUCGGAGUUAGAAGUUAGCAGGAAGUUAGCUCACUAGUUUCCAUCUAAACAUAAUCUACCAUAUUCUGACUGAGGGAUUUCUGAAAAAAUUAAAACAUACAGCUCUGCUAUCACUUCUGGCAUAGAUGAAGACAGGAAAGUAAACAGCAGUGACUUUUGUAGGGUUACUGAAGUUGGACUAGCUGAUAUAUAAUGAUGUGCUAGUGAUCGCUAUAAACCUUUUUCCACUUGAUAAAAGUUAACAUGAGGAUUCCCGAUGGUUAGGAACAAGUGCAGUCGCAUGGCAGGAUGCUGUAAACGAACCAAACAUCAGUCAGGAGAACAACUGAGAUAAUCCAUCCACAAUACGAGGUUAGUCAUUAAUAUAGUGCGGCAUGGGCUGGGCUGUAGUUACAUCGUACGGUUUUAAAAACUGAUAUUUAAAAUAAUUAGCGGUAAUAAAAACCGAGAGAGGCCGACAGUGAUCACUGACUGUUUUAGGGAUUUGUUGAGAUUAAAUAGAAAACUCUUAAAAGUGUAUCUGGUGACACAGAAACAGCAGCAUUGCAAAACUUUAUUUACUCUGUGGGACAAUUUCCUCCACUGUUGCCACUUCUGAUUUCCUACGAAUGGCAUUCUGGGAUAACUGUCUGACCCAGGUCCACACCUUGCACUGCUUGUAACCAAUCAGAUGUUAGGGUCUCAUAGUGUGUGGUUAACUCACUGUGUAUGUACUAUGUAGAAAAAACAUCUCAAAACAACAACAACAGGCGUGCUGUGUUUAAAAUGAUGGGAAGUCUAAAGACAGUCCAGAGAAACUCAUCAGUGUGUUAACCAUUUGUGGUUCUGGUGUUUAUCUGGUCAUCAUUACAGGCUCAAACCUCCAGAGCUCUGCUGCUGUUGUACCAACACUCUCAACAAAAACACUUCCCCUUCAGUUCUCAGAAAUAAAUGACUUCAUUGGUGCAAUGAGGAGCCAAAAGGUCUCAGACCACUAAUACAUCUUAUCUGUGUUUUUAUCUAGCUGCUCAAAGUGGUGACUGCUGCAGUAUCACUAUGCUUCAUUGUGGACAUAAAGACUCAAAUUCCAUCACAAACUAAUUUGUGCUGCGAGAAAACAUG
ensembl:lncRNA